GCCAGCUUAGCUCAGCUGGUAGAGCAACCGCCUUGUAAGCGGUAGGUCGCGAGUUCGAAUCUCGCAGCUGGCU
rnacentral:tRNA from 1 species